UACGGAGGGUGCAAGCGUUGUCCGGAAUCACUGGGCGUAAAGGGCGCGUAGGCGGCUCAUGAAGGCUGUGGUGAAAGUCCGGGGCUCAACCUCGGAUCGGCCGUGGCGACUCGUGGGCUGGAGCACUGUAGAGGCGGGUGGAAUUCCGGGGUGUAGCGGUGGAAUGCGUAGAGAUCCGGAAGAACACCAGUGGCGAAGGCGGCCCGCUGGGCAGUGGCUGACGCUGAGGCGCGCAGCG
rnacentral:rRNA from 1 species